UCUGAUAUGGCAGAUAAGUGCAGUGGAUUUAAGCUCCAUAUAUAAAGUGUUGGAAACUUUUAUUAGAA
rnacentral:tRNA from 1 species